GUGAGCACAUUUAGCACAAACACAGAAAUCAUGUCUCAUGUAAAACCAUAUUCACAUACCGGAUCAACAUAAUCCAUGCCAGCAUCAAACCAAUUUCCCGAGGGGGAAAUCAAGCCGAGCAGUUUGAGCCACCCUAGCGACGCCCCGGUACUCACUCUCCAAUCUCUUAUCGGCCGACGUCAACCAGAGCCGUGAGAGAUAACACGCGGCGCGAUCGGCCAACCAAUAUAGCCGAUCGUCGCCCGCAGAUCAUCAUCAGUCACUGGUUAAGCACCAAAGAGACCGCCUCGAUCGUCGACCCGUCAAGUGUUCCGCCAGACGAUUGGCCAGCAGAAGUUUAGCUAAUUGUGUCUUCUUGUGGUGAAAACCGUCUCACCAGUGAUAAGGAUAUCGGCGUGGAAAAUUAACCGCACUGGAGUGCGAGGUGCCGCGAUACCGAAAAUUGGUCGCGGUGGAGAGGUAGAGUGACGACCCUCCCUCGUGUGUUUAAUUUGUGCUAAUUGGUGUUUUUUGUACCGUUUUCCGUGUCUAGUGAGGUGGCGUCUACUAUCAGCAUGGAAAGCAUGGCCAUGCUGGAGUAGUUGGAUAAUUUGAGAUCGGUAAGAUUCAGCUGUGAACCCGUCUCUAAAAUAAGUCCCAAAAUGUGCUUUUGAUCGUCGAAUGUGUUCUAAUUGUUCUGUCUGCCAUUGUGCAGGCCUUCAUUUCCUGUUUCGCAAGCUAAAUUCCAUCAUGGCUGGAGCCGUGGUGUUGAGCAGUGUGCUGCUGUGCAUUCCUGCCGACUGGACGGCGGAUCAAAUGCACCGGAUGGCCGGCGUUCUCGCCGGUGACCAAGCUGGGUUCUGCCCGGGCAGCAACGUUGUUCCGGAUCGUCGAGGGAUACACGGGGGUCACACACACACAGGUUUACACCCGCAACUCUAGUUUUAAGGACGCCAACUAGGUUUAGUUCGCCAAUAUAGAUGUCCUUUACCGGCUUUUCCCCGGAAAAACCGCCAGCGAUGAAAGCUCGGGACGAAACCAUUUCCAAAAUUUUCCCGGAACCGAACCAAAAAGAAAAGAUAGGCGGCCCUGCCAUGAACAGAACAACCUCACCCGAAGCAACAAUAACGAGCAAAAAUGGCGGAAAUGCCGUAACGUCUUCGUUUUCUUUUAUCCAAUUUGAAUAAAUUCGACUUUCUGUGAA